rnacentral:rRNA from 1 species
GAUGAACGCUGGCGGCGUGCUUAACACAUGCAAGUCGAACGAUGAUGGGAGCUUGCUCCUGGAUUAGUGGCGAACGGGUGAGUAACACGUGAGUAACCUGCCCUUAACUCUGGGAUAAGCCUGGGAAACUGGGUCUAAUACCGGAUAUGACUCCUCAUCGCAUGGUGGGGGGUGGAAAGCUUUAUUGUGGUUUUGGAUGGACUCGCGGCCUAUCAGCUUGUUGGUGAGGUAAUGGCUUACCAAGGCGACGACGGGUAGCCGGCCUGAGAGGGUGACCGGCCACACUGGGACUGAGACACGGCCCAGACUCCUACGGGAGGCAGCAGUGGGGAAUAUUGCACAAUGGGCGCAAGCCUGAUGCAGCGACGCCGCGUGAGGGAUGACGGCCUUCGGGUUGUAAACCUCUUUCAGUAGGGAAGAAGCGAAAGUGACGGUACCUGCAGAAGAAGCGCCGGCUAACUACGUGCCAGCAGCCGCGGUAAUACGUAGGGCGCAAGCGUUAUCCGGAAUUAUUGGGCGUAAAGAGCUCGUAGGCGGUUUGUCGCGUCUGCCGUGAAAGUCCGGGGCUCAACUCCGGAUCUGCGGUGGGUACGGGCAGACUAGAGUGAUGUAGGGGAGACUGGAAUUCCUGGUGUAGCGGUGAAAUGCGCAGAUAUCAGGAGGAACACCGAUGGCGAAGGCAGGUCUCUGGGCAUUAACUGA